rnacentral:lncRNA from 1 species
GGGCCUUUGUGCCAAACUGCUAAUGCGAAAGUGUCCGCCUAACGGAUAGCCUGAGAUUGCUAAUGCGGGAAUGUUCGCCUAAUUGAUAGCACUGUUUCUUACUGUGAUACACAUUAUUAUGAUGAGGCCUAAUUGACACGGGUAACCGUGAUGCCAAGGUGUCUAAUUGACACAGUAAAGGAACCAUAUUCGGGGUUCGCUCCGAGUAACGUCGGGUUGCGGGUAGACAACCGACGCAUGAGCUCAUGGCCUGCUUAGGAGAGACAUGCAUCAUAUUGAUUGCGCAUUUAUAUUUGAUCUUGUUUUGCUUGUUAUAUUUUCUCUGUGAUAGUGCUGCUUGACUUGUUUGUCUUAUUGCAAUUUGUUUGUUUAUUGAUCUGUUUCUUGUGCUGUUGUUUCUCUGUGAUUGGGAACUGAGGUUGUGAUUGAGAUUAGUUUACGUUCGGAAAUUUAAAGAAUGUAAUAAGGUAAAAAUAAAAAGUAUUUCCAAAGGCUUAACAAAAUAGUUUUAUUGAGUAAAGUUAGUUAUUUGCAAUUUAUUUCAUUACUUUUACGGCAUUCCCAUUCCCUACUGAGAACUAGUGGUGUGUUCUCACCCCAAAAUCUUCCACCCUUUCAGUGACACAGGUUCGGAGACUCAGUUUGAAGCCGCGGCCGAUUAGGAGUUUUAUUUAAGUUAAGUUUACGUGUUGAGUUGCUUUUAUAGAAUUCACUCUCCUUUGUUAUUUAAGAUUUUAUUUUAUACAGAGGGAUAGGAGUUAUAACUGAGUUUCUUUUGUAUGGUAUUUAUUAUUAUUAAUAACUAUGUGACUAGUAUUUCUUGGAGAUCUUUGAUAUAUGAUUUUCAUUAAUAGAAACAAAAGUUUUCUGGCAUUUUCUUAAAAUUGAAACGCGGUAUCGAUCUAAAGGCUCAAUAUUAAAUAGUAAAAAAAGAAAACAGGUCAGUAACGUCUUGCUUUUGGUACGAUCAUGACGUCCUGAAAGUUAAGGCGUUACAUUAUGGUAUCAGAGCAGUUCGUUCCCAUUAGAGCCUUGUGAUUGGACUGACUAUGCUUCAUUGCAUACUCUGAGUGUCUAUCAUGCUUAGUGACUUAUUCUGAUAACAAGAAUUUAGAUUUGAUAUGCAUGACUGUCUGAUGAUUAACGCUGUUAGUCUACCAUUGCAUACCUCAUGGUAUUAAGUCUGGCCAACUUAACACUAAUGAUUUAUGUAUAUGGGAACACUAAUGAAAUCCUAAAUUCCCAAUUCUAAACCCUAAUUCCUAAUUUCACCCACCCUAAUCCCUCUUACACAAAUCACACACAUAACCCCCUCCACACCUGUCCACCUCUUAGUGAGCCACGCUCACCUCUUCCUCACUAUUCACUCACCACCGCUACACCUUUUCCUUGUAUACACACAACACAAGCAACCUCACAUAACAAAAGAAAAGAAAAAGGGAGAAAAUGAAACAGGGGAAAGGAGAGUGAGAUUUGAGAGAGCAGAGAACGAGAGGAGAGGGGAACAGAAGAGGGAGACUGCGCCAGCCACCGCACCACGUUGCCGCGCCCAGCUCGCCGCCAGUCGCCGAAGAGAGGAGCGCGACCACCAUAAGGAAUCGUCAUCGUCGUCGCUGAGCUGGGAGAGAGAAAGCGUCGUCGUUCUGCUUUCCAUCAAGUCCGUUCCGCCGCUGCCGUUGCACCGUGCCGCCACUCCACACCGUUGACACUGUUCACCGAGGGAAGACAAAAGUGACGAAGGUUCCUGGUGCCACUGUCACAGUGGAAGAAACCUAGAGAGAGAAAUGAACGAGGAGCUCGAAGAGAGGGAGCGUCGUUCUUCUGCUGUUUCUGCCCAGCGUCCCUGCCGCCGGAAUUCUUGAGCGCCGCCGUUGUUCAUGCUGAAGCUUGUCAUUCGAGAAGGCAAGCUGUUGCAUCCUCCUCUUUGUUCUGACAUCGAAUUCCCCAUUCGUAACCCUGUAACGCUUCCAUUCAUGCUCUGUUUACACCCUGUUUCUCUGCUAUGUUUUUAUCCUAAUUUCAAUAGUUGAUAUCUUCAUUUUAGUAUCGAUGUAUUCUCAUGGAACUGUCAAAGUUGUGGUUGAUGUGAGCGGGAUUAAAAUUGGUGCUGCUACCGCCAUCUUGGUCAUGAAGGAAUUGCCGCUGGUGCUGUGAAUUUAAAGUAAGCGGAUUUAACCUGGGUAACUCUUGUGAGUUCAGCUAAUCGAGGUAGGGGAUAUUUUAUUAAAUUAAAUACUUUAAACUUUGAAUGCCUAAGAAGUUUACUGAGUUAUUGCAAAUAUAUAUGAAUGCUUGAUCUAUGAUGGAUUUUGGAUGCAGAGUGAAUGUGUGACUGGUUAUGUCUCUUGGUGGUUUUAUGUGGUUUGAGAUCUUGGUUAAAAGAACGUGUAUGUUGGUGUGAAAGUUUACUGAAAAUGUAUUGGGUGUUUGUAAUUGUGAAAGCAUGUUUUGUUCUUCGUUUAAAAUAUGUUUGAAUGAUGACUUUAAAAACGUUUGGUAAUGCUGAUUUUGGUUUUUAAGAACGAUUUUGAGUUAAGAUCGUGAUUGUGACUGGAUUGCUGGAAAUUCUGGUUCUAAUUUUUUAUGUCAGAUGGUGGUUAUUGAACUGUGUGCUUGAUUAGGUUGUGAUUGUUGUUAAUUGAAUAUGUUAGUUUAGUUGUGAUAUAUUUUAUUAAGAGUUCUUGGGCAACUUUGGUUAGUCAAAAGAAAGUUAGAAAUGUGGUUUUAGAUGAAUCCUAGGCUUGAAUAUAAGAUUUGGUAUGUGAGAUUGUUGGAAAUAUUUUGUGCAGAAUUUCUGCAGAAAUCUGCAUAAUUGGCAGUAGAACGAAUGAAUCUUUGGGUGCAGUCCAGACCUAAUUUUUAGAUGAAAUUAUUUUUCUGUAAAACUAUAGUGUGUCUUGAAUAUUUCAUAAAAAUUUCAGGAAAUUUGCCUAAGUGGUUUGGAAGAUAUGAUUUUUCGAAGUUUAGUGGUUGCCGCAGAUUUUUCUGGUUUACUGGUUCUGCAGUACCAACUUCCAGACGCUAUAACUUUUAAUUUAAAUAGAAUUUUGAGUUGAUUUCAAAAGUAUUUCAAAGAUCUAUCAGUCUAUUUUAAGUGAGUAUAAGUUUCAUGUUCAUAUCUAUUUUGUAGACUUAGAUAAGUCACUUGGAAGGUCGGUUGUUUGCUGGAAACUCUGAACUGGUUUAUGAAAACAGGGCUCCACUUCCAAUUGAUAAUUAAUUAAUCAAAUGAAGUGAUAUGAACCUGAAACUUGUGGAUUCUAAAACUUAGGGAUGUUGACUGUAAAAUCACCAAAAUUUAGAAGCAAUGGAUUAGAAUUGAAAUUAUUAUGGAAUUUAUAGAAAAGAUGGCUGCUGUCUGUUUUUGGAAUUUUUGUAAAUGCAACAGCAGAAUUUUAAAGCUUGUAUAAAAUUCAAUUCUAAUCCAAAUUCAGUAAAACUUAACUUGAAUUAAAGAUUAAGAUCUCUAGAAUUACCUUACCAACAUGGUUUUAGAUUAGACAAACUUAGGAAUUAAAAAGGAAUGUAAGUUGCCCUAAGAAAGGUUAAAGUUAAAGACAAUGAUAUUGAGAGAUGCAGUGAAGAAAGAAAAAUGAGGAACAAGGAAUGAAAUAAAUGUUUAAAAUUAUAUUGAAUGUGCCUUUGUGCCAAGUGCUAAUGCAGAAGUGUCCGCCUAACUGAUAGCAUAUUGUAUGUUUAAUUGGGCCUUUGUGCCAAACUGCUAAUGCGAAAGUGUCCGCCUAACGGAUAGCCUGAGAUUGCUAAUGCGGGAAUGUUCGCCUAAUUGAUAGCACUGUUUCUUACUGUGAUACACAUUAUUAUGAUGAGGCCUAAUUGACACGGGUAACCGUGAUGCCAAGGUGUCUAAUUGACACAGUAAAGAAACCAUAUUCGGGGUUCGCUCCGAGUAACGUCGGGUUGCGGGUAGACAACCGACGCAUGAGCUCAUGGCCUGC